rnacentral:rRNA from 1 species
CUUGCUUCUCUUGAGAGCGGCGGACGGGUGAGUAAUGCCUAGGAAUCUGCCUGGUAGUGGGGGAUAACGUUCGGAAACGGACGCUAAUACCGCAUACGUCCUACGGGAGAAAGCAGGGGACCUUCGGGCCUUGCGCUAUCAGAUGAGCCUAGGUCGGAUUAGCUAGUUGGUGGGGUAAUGGCUCACCAAGGCGACGAUCCGUAACUGGUCUGAGAGGAUGAUCAGUCACACUGGAACUGAGACACGGUCCAGACUCCUACGGGAGGCAGCAGUGGGGAAUAUUGGACAAUGGGCGAAAGCCUGAUCCAGCCAUGCCGCGUGUGUGAAGAAGGUCUUCGGAUUGUAAAGCACUUUAAGUUGGGAGGAAGGGUUGUAGAUUAAUACUCUGCAAUUUUGACGUUACCGACAGAAUAAGCACCGGCUAACUCUGUGCCAGCAGCCGCGGUAAUACAGAGGGUGCAAGCGUUAAUCGGAAUUACUGGGCGUAAAGCGCGCGU